GAAAAUACGAAAUGUUUGGAAAUUUUUCAAUGUUUUUAGUUAAUUUUUAAAACGUAAAUUAAUAAAAUGAAUACCUCCAAAUUAUGUUGUCUUUGUUUGAAAAGUGUUAAGAGACGAGAACAGUACAGUACUUUAUACGGUACACCUUAAUUCCCAUCAUGUACGAGAGAUAAAGGAAGAUUUGAAGGAGCUUGAUGUCGAGACAAAAGAAAAUGAAGGGUCUAUAGUGGAAAGAAAAUGUCUUAAAUGUGACAAUAGUAAAAUACCUUAUGCUACAAUUCAACUUAGGUCAGCUGAGGAAGAACAGACUGUUUUCUCCUCGUACAAAAUGUAAAUGCAUGGGAAGAGACAAUUCUUACUAAGACAACUGGUUUUUGUACAUAAUUUGCUUCUUUGCAUCGUUCUGGAGUGUUAAAUAAAGCACUUAAAUAUAUCAACUAGAAAUAUGAAAAGCAAACAUUCCUGAGACAGCACCACGUAAUCAACCAGCCAAAGAUCCUCAUUAGAGAAAAUCUUAAAUAAGACACAGAAAUGGUAAAUGCAGAAGUUUCCAUCUACAUCGCACCAUGAUCCAGGUCCACUACGUGCAUCUUUUUUGAUACACCUUGUAUAUAUUGUAUUUUAUUUUUGUACGUUUUGUAUUAUAAAUAAAGAUA